rnacentral:rRNA from 1 species
GAUGAACGCUAGCUACAGGCUUAACACAUGCAAGUCGAGGGGCAGCAUGUUGGUUGCUUGCAACCAAUGAUGGCGACCGGCGCACGGGUGCGUAACGCGUAUCGAACCUGCCCUAUACUCGGGGAUAGCCUUGCGAAAGUAAGAUUAAUACCCGAUGUUGUUAUUACAUCGCAUGAUGUUUUAACCAAAGAUUUAUCGGUAUAGGAUGGCGAUGCGUGACAUUAGGUAGUAGGUGAGGUAACGGCUCACCUAGCCAACGAUGUCUAGGGGUUCUGAGAGGAAGGUCCCCCACACUGGAACUGAGACACGGUCCAGACUCCUACGGGAGGCAGCAGUGAGGAAUAUUGGUCAAUGGUCGAGAGACUGAACCAGCCAAGUAGCGUGCAGGAUGACGGCCCUCUGGGUUGUAAACUGCUUUUAGUUGGGAAUAAAAGGGAGUACGUGUACUCCAUAUUGUAUGUACCAUCAGAAAAAGGACCGGCUAAUUCCGUGCCAGCAGCCGCAGUAAAAC